UGAGGAAUCUGUCCAUCGGCGGGGGAUAGCCGGCCCAACGGCCGGGUAAUACCGCGUACGUCGGCGGGAGCGCAUGCUCCUGCCGGGAAAGCAGCAAUGCACCGAUGGAGGAUCUCGCGGCCUAUCAGCUUGUUGGUGAGGUCACGGCUCACCAAGGCGACGACGGGUAGCUGGUCUGAGAGGAUGAUCAGCCACAUUGGGACUGAGACACCGGCACGA
rnacentral:rRNA from 1 species